rnacentral:rRNA from 1 species
ACUCAAAUGAAUUGACGGGGGCCCGCACAAGCAGUGGAGUAUGUGGUUUAAUUCGAAGCAACGCGAAGAACCUUACCAGGUCUUGACAUCAAGUGAAUAACUAAGAGAUUAGUUAGCCUUUCGGGGCACGAAGACAGGUGGUGCAUGGUUGUCGUCAGCUCGUGUCGUGAGAUGUUGGGUUAAGUCCCGCAACGAGCGCAACCCUUACCGUUAGUUGCUACGCAAGAGCACUCUAACGGGACUGCCGUUGACAAAACGGAGGAAGGUGGGGAUGACGUCAAAUCAUCAUGCCCCUUAUGACCUGGGCUACACACGUACUACAAUGGCAAUUAACAACGAGCAGCAAAGCCGCGAGGCGGAGCGAAUCUUCAAAAAUUGUCUCAGUUCGGAUUGCAGGCUGCAACUCGCCUGCAUGAAGUCGGAAUUGCUAGUAAUCGCGAAUCAGCAUGUCGCGGUGAAUACGUUCCCGGGCCUUGUACACACCGCCCGU